rnacentral:lncRNA from 1 species
CUGACUUCUACCCUCCAGAACCGGAGAAGAAUCCUUUCUGUUUAAAUAUAUAAGUGUUGGUACCUAUUUAACCAUUUAUGGAGUCUCUACCAUACAAGAAGUACUGUGGCUGAAGCAGAGAGGUGGAGCAAGAUGGUGGAAUAGAAGGCACCACCGAUCGUCUCCCCGACAAAGACACCAAUUUAACAACUGUCUACACAGGGAAAUCACUUGUGUAAGAACCAACUCUCAGGUUAGCCCUCAUAGUAACAGGUUUUAUCUUCAUAUCUCUGAAAGUGGCACCGAAGAGAUAGAAAAACAUCUUGAACAGCCAGUGCUACCCCUCCCCACUCCACAGCAGCAGCAUGGUUCAGACAGCAUUUCUCUCUGCAGGGAGAACAAGAACAUAGUAAUUCUGAGGCAUUGAACUCAGUGCUUCCCUGUUUAACUGGACCAAACUCAGCUGCCUACCCAUGAAGGGAGUAUUUAAACCAGCCCUAGCCAGAGGGGAAUCGCUGAUUCCCGCAGUCUGAACUUGAAUUCCCACAAACCUCACUCCCAAGGACUAAACUGCUCUGGGUCUCUAAGUAAACUGAAAAGGCAGUCUUGGCCAUGAGGACUGCAACUCUUAGGCAAGUCCUAGUGCUGAACUGGGCCCAGAGACAGUGGACCUGGGGUGUGGAAGGCACAUGACAUACUGAGACACCAGCUGGGGUGGCUAAGGGAGUGGCGUCACCCCUCCCCUACCCCGGGCUGCACGGCUUGUGGCUCCAAAAGAGACUCCUUCCUUCUGCUUGAGGAGAGGAGAAAGAGGAGUGAGGACUUUGUCUUGCAUCUUGGAUAUCAGCUCAGCAACAGGAUAGGGAACCAGUCGGAGUUGUGAGGCCCCCAUUUCAGAUCCUAGUUCCUAGAUAACAUUUCUAGACACACCCUAGCCCAGAAGAGAAUCUGCAGCCCGCCCAGAAGAGGAUCUGCAGCCCUGAAGGGAAGGACCCAGUCUUGGCAGCAUUUAUCAACUGCUAACUGAAGAGCCCUUGGGGGCUAAAUAACAAGCAGUGAUACCCAAGUUCUACGUCAAGUGUCUUGAGUGAGCCUCUGAGACUUGCUGGCUUCAGAUUCUUCACUGUGGGAGACUACGGCUUUUGAAGAGUCAGCCAACCAGCUUGAGAGUGAAUAUAAUCACCCAUUUUCUAAAAUGAAAGAGGAGACUUGGGACCAGCCUCCGCUGUGUGGUACCGAGCAAGAGCAGCUGCAGACAUGCAGAGCUGGUUUUCAACUCAGGCGAGGCAGUGUAUCAGCUGUGUAACCCUAGCAAUUCCUUCAACCCCUCUGCAGCUGUCUCUCCCCCUGCAAAAUGUAACAAUUGCUGCUGUGCCCCCUUACGGGAUGCUGAAAAAAGUUAAGUAAGAUCAAAUGAGUUUGUAUCUGGAAAACAUCAUGAUGGGAGGUUGAACUUGGUGGUAUAAGGGUAGAAAAUUGUGAUAUCUUUCCUUCCCAUAGAAGGCGGACAGCUAACACUCUUAAAGCACAAGACAGGUUAACAAAAGAAAAGCAUAACAAAUCUAUUUAAUCAAAGUUGUGUGUGACACAAGAGCCUUCAGAAGUGAAGGUCUAAAGAUCCAGGGGAAACUGUUUUUAUGUUUAGGUUGGAUAAAGAACGGAUAGCCAUGUAGAACUGUGAUUGGACAGGUUAUGAUCUAAUGGUAAUAGACUGAAGGGGAAACCCCGCAAGACCUGUCUGUUCAGGUUCUUCUUGGUCUCUCUGCAUAGCAUUCCUUUCCUGUCCAGUAGAGGUUAGGACACCUGUUACAUGAAGGUCCUCAAGAGAGAAGGGACAAAGUUACCUUUCUAGGUUUUAUGACUUGCUUUGCGGAAGAAGACUUUUAGUUUCUAUGACCCAACUUGGUGAAGAAGAAUUCUGGUUUCUAUGACUCACUUUGCAGAGGGUAGUGGGGAAGACAGGAGAAUGGGAGGAGAUCAAGAUGUUGAAGAGAUCUUGUUUCUGAGGCAUGCAUGAACUCCUGGGCUCAAGUGAUCCUCCUGCCUCAGCCUCCCAAGUAGCUGGCACUAUAGGUGUGCCACCAUGCCCAGCUAAUUAAAACAAUUUUUAAAAAUUUUUUUGUCUGUGUUGCUUAGCCUGGUCUCAAACUCCUGGCCUCAAGCAAUCCUACUGCCUCAGCCUCCCAAAAUGCUGGGAUAUAGGUGUGAGCUACCAUACCUGGCCCAUUUCACUGUUCUUGAUCUAUAAAUGUCUGUUCUUCAGGUUAUAAUGUAUGCCUGAUUCAAUCCUUCACUGAUCAAUGAAUAAAAUAUUUAACAUGUAUUUAUCUAUCUAUCUAUCUAUCUAUAUAUAUAUGAAUGACAGUGAUAAUUUUAAUUUUCACAGAGGGUAAGUAAGACCCUGCCUGUUUCCUUCCAAAUUUCUUCAUGGUCCAAGUAUCUUUAUGUAAUCACAGAAGACUGAGGGAAUAAUGACACCAUUUCAGGAUUUAAAAAAUAAUUGUGAAACAUUCCUUGAAGAGACCUUCCUCCACAUAAAGACAGCAGCAUCAGCUGCUCAACAGACACCCCUUGGUGAACAAGAUAGAGGCUCUCCAGGCAAGUCACAAGCAAGACUGCAACUGCAGUCAGGUUCUGUGGUCAGCCACAGAGGGACCUAAGGCAGCAGCAGUGGCUCAAGGAGAGCUGCAUCUACAGCUGAAGCUGAAGGAUUCUGAUGGACAUCAGACCUAGCUAUGGACAGAGGGGUAACCUGAAGAACUGAGGAAUGCAUGAGUCUGAGCCAAGGGGGCCUCAAGCCUACAGAUCUUUCUUGUCAUUAUUAAUGGCAUCCACAUUCUUUGAAUAUCCUCCUUAAGGCAGAUGUGGGGCUGAGGGGAAUUAAGAAUUAGGUUACUGUGUACUAUAUUCAAGAAGUUCUUAUUGUCAACUUAAAUAAAGACAGAGAAAAUUAUGUCUGAAUAUGUUGCGUUUACUCAGGAUUAUAAUCUGGAAUGCACAGAAUGGCAAGCCACCAGCCUGUUUGGUGAGAGAAGG